AGAGUUUGAUCCUGGCUCAGGACGAACGCUGGCGGCGUGCCUAAUACAUGCAAGUCGAGCGAAUCGAUGGGAGCUUGCUCCCUGAGAUUAGCGGCGGACGGGUGAGUAACACGUGGGCAACCUACCUGUAAGACUGGGAUAACUUCGGGAAACCGGAGCUAAUACCGGAUAAUUUCUUUUCUCGCAUGAGAAGAGAUGGAAAGACGGUUUCGGCUGUCACUUACAGAUGGGCCCGCGGCGCAUUAGCUAGUUGGUGAGGUAAUGGCUCACCAAGGCCACGAUGCGUAGCCGACCUGAGAGGGUGAUCGGCCACACUGGGACUGAGACACGGCCCAGACUCCUACGGGAGGCAGCAGUAGGGAAUCUUCCGCAAUGGACGAAAGUCUGACGGAGCAACGCCGCGUGAACGAAGAAGGCCUUCGGGUCGUAAAGUUCUGUUGUUAGGGAAGAACAAGUACCAGAGUAACUGCUGGUACCUUGACGGUACCUAACCAGAAAGCCACGGCUAACUACGUGCCAGCAGCCGCGGUAAUACGUAGGUGGCAAGCGUUGUCCGGAAUUAUUGGGCGUAAAGCGCGCGCAGGUGGUUCCUUAAGUCUGAUGUGAAAGCCCACGGCUCAACCGUGGAGGGUCAUUGGAAACUGGGGAACUUGAGUGCAGAAGAGGAAAGUGGAAUUCCAAGUGUAGCGGUGAAAUGCGUAGAGAUUUGGAGGAACACCAGUGGCGAAGGCGACUUUCUGGUCUGUAACUGACACUGAGGCGCGAAAGCGUGGGGAGCGAACAGGAUUAGAUACCCUGGUAGUCCACGCCGUAAACGAUGAGUGCUAAGUGUUAGAGGGUUUCCGCCCUUUAGUGCUGCAGCUAACGCAUUAAGCACUCCGCCUGGGGAGUACGGCCGCAAGGCUGAAACUCAAAGGAAUUGACGG
rnacentral:rRNA from 1 species